UCUGUUAUGGUUCACGUGUCUCCUCACAUUCAGGCACGAUGGAUCAUGGGGUGGGAUGUGAGUUGGGCUCCUCCAGUGAUUACAGGAAUGCUGUUCUCAGUUUGCCAUGUGCAACUAGAGGAUGAUAAAUACCCUCUGUAGGAGAAACCACCAUUAUGUGGAAUGUUUUUGCUAACCAGCUAAAAGAUCCUUGAAAGAAAAAGAAUUCUGAGUAAGCACUACACACGGGUAUUAAUUACUGUUAUUUAUUAGGUGCUUGUGAUUGCUUUUCGGGCUCCCUUCCCUGAUCGUGGUCACAAGUUGAACCAAUUUCACCAAUUGUGUGACAAAAAUAAAACUUGGCAGCCAUUGCAGGUACUGGCAGCACUUAAAGGCCUUUUAAAUAGUUUUACAUGGCUGCUACUGAAAGACAGGCUUGUUUUGCACAGCCAGCCCUUCACAGAGCAGAUUCCCAGGCUGGGGAAGGGCUGGCUGCUGGUUUCCCUGGAAAAGCCACAGCUGGUCUCUAGACACUGCCACAGGCAUCAGGUGAGGGUUUGUCACCCACAUCUGGUGCAGCAGCACCCUGAGGCACUGAGCCAAGGCAGGGUGGAGGGGAUGUGCCAGGCACUGUCCUGACAAAACACUGGCUGGGGUGGGAGGAAGAGCACCAACUUCUUCCAAAUAUUCAGCCAACUGCACCUUGCUCCAGGGGUGUUCCUGGCCCCCAUCCUACUGCUGGAAAUCACCUCCAUGUUUUAACUUGGAUUUAGCCUUUCACUUCAAUGCACAUGAGAAAAUGCCUUUUAAGAAAUCAUGCUCAGCUUCUCUCUUUUUGCUGUUUUUUUUUCUCAUUUUCACCUUUCUCUCUUCCUUUUAUUAAUUUAAGAGGCACCCUCUCUUGGCUGCUGGAGCAGAUAUUGCAGUAAGCAGAGGGGUCAGAGCACCAGCUCUGUCCCCAGCCAGCUCCAUCCCAGUGGCUGCUGCCCUGUUCCCCUGCUCUAAGGAAACAUCCUCCCAGUCCCUCCACUCUAGCAGGAGGCAAAGCAGGAUGAGGAGUGCAGUGCUCAGGCAGCACAUAAUGGUAUUUUUCUCCUGAAAACCAGAAAUAACAGGCACAAUACCACUCAGUAUUAGAGCCCUAAGCUGUAAAAUGAACCAUGAGAGACUUGGACAUUUGAUACAUUCCUGCAUCUUCCCAUCCAUCAUAGAGAGGGAUGAGCUGCUCUUUGAACAUCUUGGGUUUGUAAAAAGUAACCAGAAUCUGUUAAAUAUACAAGAGAAAUUGCAUGGCUGAUUUCAGCUGUUGGCUGAGCACCUCACCUGAAAACUUGCCAGGGUUUCUACCAUGAAGGGAGGCUUUGCUCUGCACUGCGCAGAACAGAACAACCAAGGAAAGUGAACCAGUGACCUAAAUAUUCCCUAGUGCUUAGGCACCAUAAAAAUGGGCUUUGUUUAAGCAGAAUUUGCCACCUGUACAUAAAAAGUAACUUCAAACUUUUAAAUGACAUUUUUUUCUAAUGCCUAAAGCAACAGUGGUCAGUAAACCUAUGUUUAUAGUGUAAUGGUCACCAAAGAAAUACAUAUAAUUGGAAGCAAAAAAGGCACCAUUUCAAAGAUUCUUGAAUGCACUGGGAAACAGUAAAGGAAAAAUAUUUCAGCCCAAAACCAUGUAAAGCCUGUGACAAAACCUAAAUAAAUCAGUGUGUGUGGAAAUAGGGAAGAUAGGUGGUCAGCAGUAACAAAUAGGUUUAAAACCUGCUGCUGCUACAGGAGGCUGAGGGAACCAGUGCUGAGGGCUAAUGGGAGUAAAAAGGAAGGCACUUAAAAACUUUGGAGACUAAAUUUGUAAUUUGAAUCGGUUAUAAAACCACUGCUGAUGACAUUGAUGAGGUAGCAAAGUAAAAUACAGACCAAUUGGGUAGAUGUUUCUCAUCUGUAUUUGAAAGGGAACAAGGAGGUUUGGUUCUGUGUUCUGUGAGGGACCAAAAGCAGUUACUGUUGGCAGCAAGGAAAGAUGGGAACUCUGAAAUUAUAUUCUCAGAUCCAGCAAUGCAGCUGUCUCAGACACAGGUGUCUUUAGAGACUUCAUUGAGAAGCUGAUUGAACCACUAAUGUUGAUUUUUAAUAACUUUUCAAGUCAAGGAUGGAUCAGGGCACUGCCAGAGUGUUUCUGUACUUUGAAAAGGUGAAAAGGAGAAUUUCAGUGCAGCAAUUAAUUUUGCAAAGUACUAGCAUCAAGGUAAGUGGUCUCACUUAGCCUCAUGUUGGUCCUCUGCAAAAUACCAGAGUGGUUAAUUUGGGAUUUCAUCAACAAAUAACUAGAUGCUAAUAAAAUAAUAAAGAUCAAUCAAUGCACUUUUCUGGAAAAUGAAGCUUGUUAAACCACCCUGUUGUUAUAGACUCAUUUAGGUUUGAAAAGACCUCUAAGGUCCUCGAAUCCAGCCAUAAACCUGACACUGCCAAGUCCACCAGAGGUGUUGGGAAGCCUGGUUCUUUGUUUUGGUUUGUAAUACAACACGCCUGGCUGCUAAAGACAACUGUGAUGCUGUAAUAUACUGCAAUUUCUCCAAGGUAUUUGGCCAGCAUUGUAUGGAAUUAACAAGGCACAUGGUAGAGAGAUUAAAUCUGCUUCACUGACCAAUCUCAAAAUGUAGUUGUUAAUGAGAAGGUAUCAUUCAGCAAGGCCACUGGCAGCAAGCAUUUCUUCUUCUCCAAUGCUAUUUAAUACAUCUAUCAACAAUCCAAGUAAUAGAAAAUCUCUCCUGAUAAGGCUGCAGGGGGCUUAACACUUACUGGGUACAAAAUAUUACAGAAGGAGCUAUUUUAUCAGUUCCCUGAAUAUCUCAGUUGAACUGUCUGAAGCCAGCAGUGGUAUUUUAAAUACAAAGCGAGGCACGGAGCAAGCACACUCAUAGCAGCCCUGCUCCCUUAGAAAGCCAGGCUCUCAGAGGAGGACAUAAAUGAGAUCACUCAGAGCAACACAACAUGAGCUCGCAUCACAGUGCUCUGGAUAAAAGGUCAGUGCAAUAUUGGGGAUAUAAAACAUACCCCAACACCAAAAUAAAAACAAGCUGAAGCUGGGUAGAGCGAGUGCUGCCGCAUACGGUGCUGGGAGACGAGUGUGGGUCCUGGGUCCUGCAUCAACACGUGGAAAUAUCAAUAAAAGUUCAAAGGGAAGCUGCCAAAAUGACCCCAGAUUGCAAAUCAAACCUUUGACAUGAAACUCAAGGAGUUUAUCAAAGAAAGGCUGAGAGGUGACUUGAUCACUGGGAGCAAAUGGAGAAGGUUUCAGUCUCGCAGACAAAGGCGUAGCAGGUUACAGGGGCUGGAAAGUCAAGUUACACAUCUCGUAAGUGAAGCACUUUUCCAACAGCAAGGAUAAUUAAACAGAGAAGCAGCAAGGGAGGGGGUGAACUCACCAACACUCGCUGUUUUUAAGAGAAGAUUAGAUACGUUUCCAGGAGAGAUGCUGCCUGGGGAAAUGUCCAUGGCCUGCGUAUACACAAGCUCAGAUUAACUAAGCACAGAGGUCCCUUCUGACCUUAGCCUGUGAAUCUAUAAAUUCCUCAUUCCGCUCAUUAGCAUGGAUCACAAAAAGCAUGGUUUAAAAGCAGCAACAUAAACAACUUAAAAAUUAACUGCAUGCUAUUGAUCUCCUCUCACCAGGAAUCACUCAAUACUGAAUUUGCUGGGAAAAAUCUUGACCGCAUCACUUUUAUUUUUAUCUGCUUUGUUUCUACAUGUUAGUGAUGAGGGAGCAUGAUAGCCUCGAGCAGAGGGAAAAGAAAUGUGUGUGACAUUCCCUGUCUGUGAAAAAUUAAAGGUCCAUUCAAAUGGUUUUAAUAUCAAGUUAAAUUACUUUUAAUGAAAAAUGAAAAAUAAAUGGUUUGGGUCUCCAGCUCACAAUCAACAGAAGAGCAAAUUGAGGAUCAUUUUCAGAUUAAGCCCAGCCUGAUGGAAGUCAAUAAGAAAUUCAUGCUGAUGUAGAAUUAACCCUUUGAAAGAUGGUGCUAAACAGGAAAAGAGCUAUAAUAGGCCUGAAGCAUUUUAAAAUUCACUGAGAGGUUGAACACCUUCCACACAACAGGUGAGGGAAAUAUUUGACAUUUCCCAAACAUCAGACAAAGUGUGAGCUUUUUGCCACACACCCUUUCUCAGUUUGGCAGCCCCUGUUUAUUUGCAGGAUCUUGAGAAGGUGGACAGCAGCCAACAGGAAUGAAAAGCCAGGAUGAGAUGAUGACACCUUGCUCUGCCUGACACCUCCUUCCAAAAACACUUGCAGAUAUCCCUCCCCUUCAGCAUGGCAAGGCCUCCCUUUGCAGGUGGGAGUUCUCCCUUCCUGCAGUGCCCUUCAAGGGUUUAUUUUUCCACAAGUGAAAAGAAUACCAAAUGCAUUCCUGUGCAUGAUUAAAAAUUCCAUAUUCUGCUUGCUUAGAAUGCAGGCAGCGUGCAAACAGGCUUGUGUUACAGAGAGCCUCCACGGGGCAACAGCAGCAGCAUGGUGGUGCCAGCAAUAAUUCCAGAGAAGCUAAUUUAGUACCAGCAAUUCCCAACAGACACCAGAAAAGCAUUUUCUUCCUCCUCCUCUGACUGCUAACCAGUAAGAUUUAUUAGAUGGUUCUGCUGAAUGGAAAUCUUUAAUAAAACUUUGACUCAGGCUGAGCAGCACAAAACCAGGGUCAGUGUGGAAAUUAUUUUACACAUACACAUACCCCCCACCCCCACCUCUUCUUUUCAAGUCAGGCCUUGUUUUUGAACAGCAAAGCAUGAUGCUUCCUGUAAUGACCUGCCAGGCACUGCUGAACUACAGCACCAGCUACAGCCUCCCCUUCUGCCUUGCAAAGCUCAUGGUGACUCCAGGCACUGGAAGGGAUUGGAGCACAGCUUGUUUGGAUGGAUGUUCCCAGGUGCAACUAUUAUGGAACAGGUUUCCUCAAUGGCCAUGGGCUUCCCAACCUACAGGCAGGAAGGUUGGUGUGUCCAGCCGGCAGCGUUUGCAGCUGGAGGUGUUUGUAGUCCAGAAGGGAAAAUCAAAACCUUCCAGCCUGUCUGAAGGAGGCAUAGGUGUGGGCCUCUGCUCCACAGAGAGCAGUGAGAGCUGCUGUACCAGACUAACUUACCAGCAGUAAUUUCUGUAGGAGCUGAUGACAUGAAGGAUUGUGGUGGGCAUUAAAGCAUAACUGAUAUAGACAGAACACUCAGGCCAUUACUGCUGUGCUGUGGACUGUGGAGUAAAACACUGCUGGUUUUCAGCAACAAGUAGCCAUGCCACGUGAUGGUUUUGGAUCAUUAGCAAGGGAAAGUGCUUGUGGAGUAGGGGAGAAUAUAACUGGAGCUUGGCCAGAACACCCACACUAAUAAUCCUGCUCCAGGAAGGGGUAUGAUAUCCUCCUAAUUGACCAUGACUAAUCUGGACCCUCAUUUAUCCAUCUCAUUGUAAAGAUGACACUUCUGGCAGCAUGACACGGCCACCCGAGCUCCAGCCUUCUGCAGCACAACCUGGCUGCCAGCACUGGGGGCUGUCAGCACUGCCACCAAGCAGGGGACAGUGCCUUGGCUCCCUGACUGCUGCCACCCAUGGACACGGGGCCAGCAAUGCCCUUUGCUCCAGUGCUGUGCAGGUGUCCCAGAAAGGUCCCAGGUUUAACAGAUUAAGGGGCACUUGCAGCUCUGCCUGGCACUGCCCAGAGCCACACGCCACAGGGGCUGGUACCCUGGAGGCUUCCUUGGUCCUAACACCAGCUCCAUCCAGUUGGUGAGCAUCCUAGAAUUACAGAAUGUCCUCAGUUGGAAGGGAUGCACAAGGAUCAUCAAGUGAAGCUCCUGUCCCUGCACAAGACAACCCCAAAAAUCCCAUCAGCAUCAUGCAGUUCCACCUCCAGUAAAGCCCUCCUUAUAUCUUAGGUCAGGAAGGAAAUUCAUCCACUAAUAAAGGCAGGGAUCUUUUGGAUCUUUUUUUUUUCCUUCUGUUAAGCAGAUCCUUGUUGACCUAACUGCUAAUACUCAAUAAUGUUCAUGGAACUGCUUUGAAUAAAUGUGUGCUUCUGCAUCCAUAGCCAGAAAUGAGGAGGGAGAAGAAGGUUGUUUGAGGCAUCAGUAGAUACUAAGCUUCAGGCAGUCAAAACAAUACACUAAUUCAGCCAUUUCAAAUCUUUUGCAACCCUGAGAGUUCAAACACUGAAUUUUUAACAAUUAUGUGUUAACAUUUCCUGAUGAGGCUGAUGUGAUAUUUAGGACUGAGCAGGAAAUUUUAAAGCAGUAAUAAAACUAACAUUUCUUGUAGUCCCACUGCUUGAUGAUAUGUCCAGCAUGUCAUUGGGAGAGAAAAGUGCUGGAGCAAGAGCACCCAGGCAUUCACCUCUCAAACAUACAGAAAAAAAGACACUGGCAUCCUCCACUUCCAAAUCUUACUGCUCAUCAGGAGACUUUAGUUUUCCUGCUGUACUCAGCUCUUGUCCGGCAGCACUUUUGGUUCCCACAGCUAAAAAAAAAAAAAAUAGAGAGGAGGGUUGUGAAGAUGUUCAAAGGGCUAGAGAGCCUGCCUGAUGAGGGAAGACUGAAAUUAUUUUCUCCCUGGAAAGAGAGGGCUCAGAGGAUCCUCACAGAGUAUUCCAGCACUAAAAGAGCAGCCACAAGGAGGAUGGAAGCUCUCCAUUGACAGGGAGCCAUGGGGAGAAGACAAUGGGGCAAGAGGUAAAAGCAGCACAAAGAGAUGAUACAAUAAUUGUGAUGCAAGAAUUUCUUAUAGUGAGAUCAGUCAUUCACUGAAACCCACCAACCCUGGGAUGUGGUGGAGUCCCCAUCAGCAAAGGUUUUCAGGAUGUGAUUGGACAGGAUGCAAGAUAAUAUCAUCUGGUGCCCCUUUCCCACAAUGGCUGGAGCAGAUGAUCUUUCAAGGUCCCUUCCUGCCUGGGCUGUUCUUGGAUUUUUUGGUUCAGUGAUUCAGUUUGUCCAUGAAGUCCUUUUACAGGCAGCUGUCAGAGAGGGACUUUCUCUGCCAUUUGAUCAGCCUGGGCAAGGACUGAAAGGAGUGGCUGAAGUGAUCUGGAUUUGGAUGCCCAUUACCUUCUCCUCAGGCAUUCUGCUGGAGAGGUGGAGGUCUGGCUGCUCCACAGCCAGGGAAGUCACUGCCCCAAAGCCAUCAGGGUUUGUGUCCCUGCAGCAAGGCUCUCUGGCACAGAGCUUCCUUCCUUCCUUCCCAGGCUCUGACAGCCUGUAAUCAUUUUAUCUCUCUGGAUUAAUGGCACCAAGCAAUAAACUCGCAUCCUAAUUAUUGUAA